GGCCAGGCCCAUCACAAUGCAUCCGUCGGCGCGUCCCUGGUUCCAUCUUCCAAUUCCCUAGGAUACCACGACCUGCUGCCCCGCCGCCGCCUCCCAUCAACCUCCAGCACCGCCCCACCGCCAGUUCGCCCCCCACGGGUCCGAUGAGACGCGCAACGGUACAUCGCCUGACUGCUCCCUCCUCCACCUCCACCUCGGUCGCCAUGGCCUCCUCCUCUUCCCAGUACCCUCCCUCAAGUCCCUCCUCGCUGGUCGUCGACAUGGAGACCGGCCGGGCGGCAUCAUGAGGGCCCUCACCUGCCUCCACGCCCACGAGGGGCCCCGAUUCAAGAGUCUACCCAGGACUACGGCCUCGGCUAACCCUAGCCGUCUCAGUCUCCGGCGGCCAUGGAGGGCUCGGAUCCGUCCUCUGUGACGCAGCGCCGCUCUCGGCCGACCUCCCGCUGCCGCUGUGCGCGCAUAGGUAUCCUGCUGCCAGGGAAGACGCGCGUCGCCCCUCGAAUGACCAACUCUCUGCUCGCUUCAGCCUCCACUACCCCAGAUAUGGCCACGAAAAAGCUUCACUCAGCUGUAACCGUCGGGCGAAGGGAUGCGGUGGUGCCUGGCCUCCAACCGUCGGCCGUGGAGAGCCCAGCUCUCUUGAUUCUGAAAUUGGGUCCGAGGAUUAGAUGAGUUUUUAGGAUGGAAAUUUCAUCAAGGAUCUUGGAUCGUUUUUUUUUUUGUUUAUGAUUUGGAUCCAAUUGUCCUGUUCAUGUUUUUUUCUGAUGGAAAUCUUUUCAGGCCAGUCAAGCAGCUCUGCUCCGCCAUCACGCAUUGCAGGAUGCUUGUCCCCAUCCUCGUCCCUAAGCUCUAUCCCCGACCAGGGCAACAGGAGCAAUUGCAGUAGCAUCACGUGAGUUUUGGAGUCGCUGACAGGUGCGGCAUCAUGCUCGGGAACGAGGUGUCCCAGGUGAUCUUAAUUUCAGCGCUUUUUUUGUGGCCUCUGACCUUGAGGAUGAAGAGGACAUCUACACACUUGAGCUCGGCCAGAGAACCUCAAUGGAGGAGAUACGUUUCUAUCCAUUCUCCUUGAUUUCUCCCUUCUCGCUUGUAAAUUUUGCCACUCACAUCUCUAUUUUGUCUUUCUCAGAUCAACCACCAUAGCCAGCAAGGAUAGGUCGAGCAAGCAACCUCCAUGGCCAGCGGAGCAAGAGCACAAGAAGCAUCAAGCAGUGGAUAGAACCAUCAGGCCACUCUCGUCUGUCAUGCACGCACGGCAUAUGCUGGCAGCACGGUUUUAGGCUGCCUCCCCGAUGAGCAGUGGCGGCGUCGAUGCGACAAGCUUGCGGUGCUCGGUUUCCUUGAGUCAAGUUAUGGUGCGAUUGGCGGCGUUGCCUGCACGUGUCCUUGCUGGCAACCUCUCCAUUGACAUCAUCAGCUGCCUAUGGCGGGCUGGCGGGAGCAGAGGCGUCGUGACGAAGAAUUUUUCUUAGCAUUGGAACAAUCUGCAUCUUGAAAAGUUAAAGGUACAAAAGGUACUAAAGGGGUGUCCUGCACAACCAGUACGCGGCUGUUAUGUUCACAUUCUUUUACCAUCCACACAGUUAAAGGUACAAAAGGUACUAAAGGGGUGUCCUGCACAACCAGUACGCGGCUGUUAUGUAGAUGAGGGAGAAGACAAGAACAAAUGCUGAUUGAGGUAGGGUGCUCAGGGUAGUUAUGUCUGCAAGCAAGGAGGAAGGGGGCAAGGUGGUGAAGACAAGGGUUGUGGUGUUGGUCGACUGUGCCUGCUCGUCGCCGACUGGUCUGAGUAGCACUACGGCUGCGGUAUGAAAGCUCCUCUGGUGUGUCUAUGUUCCUCAACAUUUUUCAUUGAUGCCCGCCUUGAUGUUGCUGGAUACAUGUCAUUUCUUGGUCGUGCAUGACUGAAAUUAUAUUAAUAUUAAAGCCUGUGUCACGUAUUAUUUGAGUCC